CCUACGUGUGGCAGCAGUGAGGAAUAUUGGUCAAUGGGCGAGAGUCUGAACCAGCCAAGUAGCGUGAAGGAUGACUGUACUACGUGUUGUAAACUUCUUUUAUCUGGGAAUAAAUCCGGGUAUGCAUCCCCUCUUGUGUGUACCAUAUGAAUAAGCAUCGGCUAACUCCGUGCCAGCAGCCGCGGUAAUACGGAGGAUGCGAGCGUUAUCCGGAUUUAUUGGGUUUAAAGGGUGCGGAGGUGGGUUGUUAAGUCAGUUGUGAAAGGCUGCGGCUCAACCGUAGAAUUGCAGUGGAAACUGGCAGGCUGGAGUAGGGGAGAGGUAGGCGGAAUGCGUGGUGUAGCGGUGAAAUGCUUAGAUAUCACGAAGAACUCCGAUUGCGAAGGCAGCGCACUGG
rnacentral:rRNA from 1 species